GAGUUUGAUCCUGGCUCAGAGUGAACGCUGGCGGCAGGCCUAACACAUGCAAGUCGAGCGGCAGCACGGGUAGCAAUACCUGGUGGCGAGCGGCGGACGGGUGAGGAACACAUCGGAAUCUGCCUCGUCGUGGGGGAUAACGUAGGGAAACUUACGCUAAUACCGCAUACGACCGAGAGGUGAAAGCGGGGGAUCGCAAGACCUCGCGCGAUGAGAUGAGCCGAUGUCGGAUUAGCUAGUUGGCGGGGUAAAGGCCCACCAAGGCGACGAUCCGUAGCUGGUCUGAGAGGAUGAUCAGCCACACUGGAACUGAGACACGGUCCAGACUCCUACGGGAGGCAGCAGUGGGGAAUAUUGGACAAUGGGCGCAAGCCUGAUCCAGCCAUGCCGCGU
rnacentral:rRNA from 1 species